UGCCAGCCGCCGCGGUAAGACGGAAGAUCCAAGCGUUAUUCGGAAUGACUGGGCGUAAAGAGUUGCGUAGGUGGUUUUGUAAGCAAAGCAUGAAAUUUUAAGGCUCAACCUUAAAACUGUGCUUUGAACUGCAAAACUUGAGUAUGGUAGAGGUAACUGGAAUUUCUAGUGUAGGAGUGAAAUCCGUAGAUAUUAGAAGGAACACCAAUGGCGUAGGCAGGUUACUGGACCAUUACUGACACUGAGGCACGAAAGCGUGGGUAGCGAACGGGAUUAGAUA
rnacentral:rRNA from 1 species